rnacentral:rRNA from 1 species
GAUGAACGCUGGCGGCGUGCCUAAUACAUGCAAGUCGAGCGAAAGGACGCGAAGCUUGCUUCGUUGAUGUUAGCGGCGGACGGGUGAGUAACAUGAGGAUAACCCACCUAUAUGACUGGGAUCACUACGGGAAACCGGAGCUUACACCGGAUAAUCUCUUGAAGCGUAUUGUUCAAAGGUGAAAGUCGGUCUUUCUGUCUCUUAUAGAUGCAUCCCGGCUGCAUGGGCUAGUUGGGAAGGUAACGGGUUAUCAAGGCUAGGAUGCAUAGCCGACGUGUGAGGGUGAUAGGCCGCACUGGAACUGAGACGCCGGCCAGGCGCCUAAGGGAGGCAGCAGUAGGGAAUCGUCCGCAAUGGGCGGAAGCCUGACGGAGCAACGCGGCGUGAGUGAUGAAGGCCUUCGGAUCGUAAAACUCUGUUAUGAGGGAAGAACAUAUGUGUAAGUAACUGUACAGAGCUUGACGGUAACUAAUCAGAAAGCCACGGCUAACUACGUG